GCUUUCAUGAUGUAACGGUUAGCAUGCAAGACUUUUAAUCUUGUCGCCUGGGUUCGAUUCCCAGUGAGAGCA
rnacentral:tRNA from 1 species